rnacentral:piRNA from 1 species
GUGGGCAACAUUGUCACUGGAACUGAU